rnacentral:rRNA from 2 species
AUGCUUGCAUAAAUGAUUUUUGGAUUCGGAGCGAGUGGCGAACUGGUGAGUAACACGUGGGUAACCUGCCCCGAAGCGGGGGAUAACAUUUGGAAACAAGUGCUAAUACCGCAUAAUUAGUUGGAACCGCAUGGUUCCAACUUGAAAGAUGGCUCUGCUAUCACUUUGGGAUGGACCCGCGCCGUAUUAGUUAGUUGGUGAGAUAAAAGCCCACCAAGACGAUGAUACGUAGCCGACCUGAGAGGGUAAUCGGCCACAUUGGGACUGAGACACGGCCCAGACUCCUACGGGAGGCAGCAGUAGGGAAUCUUCCACAAUGGACGAAAGUCUGAUGGAGCAACGCCGCGUGAGUGAUGAAGGUUUUCGGAUCGUAAAACUCUGUUGUUAAAGAAGAACAAGUGUUAGAGUAACUGUUAACACUUUGACGGUAUUUAACCAGAAAGCCACGGCUAACUACGUGCCAGCAGCCGCGGUAAUACGUAGGUGGCAAGCGUUGUCCGGAUUUAUUGGGCGUAAAGCGAGCGCAGGCGGUUUUGUAAGUCUGCUGUGAAAGCCCUCAGCUCAACUGAGGAAGUGCAGUGGAAACUACAAAACUUGAGUACAGAAGAGGAAAGUGGAACUCCAUGUGUAGCGGUGAAAUGCGUAGAUAUAUGGAAGAACACCAGUGGCGAAGGCGGCUUUCUGGUCUGUUACUGACGCUGAGGCUCGAAAGCAUGGGUAGCGAACAGGA